rnacentral:rRNA from 1 species
UGGAGGCAGCAGUAGGGAAUAUUGGACAAUGGGCGGAAGCCUGAUCCAGCCAUACCGCGUGAAGGAAGAAGGUCCUCUGGAUUGUAAACUUCUUUUAUACAGAAAGAAACGUAGAUUUGCGAAUUUACUUUGACGGUACUGUAUGAAUAAGCACCGGCUAACUACGUGCCAGCAGCCGCGGUAAUACGUAGGGUGCAAGCGUUGUCCGGAAUUACUGGGUUUAAAGGGUACGUAGGUGGGCAUCUAAGUCUGGAGUGAAAGUUUGAGGCUCAACCUCGAAAGUGCUUUGGAUACUGGGUGUCUAGAAUUAGAUAGAGGUAGCUGGAAUUUGUGGUGUAGCGGUGAAAUGCAUAGAUACCACGAGGAACACCAAUUGCGAAGGCAGGCUACUGGGUUUAUAUUGACACUGAUGUACGAAAGUGUGGGUAGCGAACAGGAUUAGAUACCCCGGUAGC